CGACCCUUCAACAAAAAGUCCAGGCUGAUUAUUAUUGUUCGAAUAUGAUGUAUUCAAUUAAACGUGCACGAUAGUUAUUUUUAAUUUCCCGAAAGGUUGAUAUUAGACUAAACCUCUUUCACGAAUAAGCGAUUCAAGUAUAAUAAUAGAUAAUAAUUGACAAAAAAUAAAAACUGAUCUAUGCGACCUAACGACCUAAUUGUAAUAAUGUACUUACGCAUUUAAAAAGGACGGACAUACUUUGCACAUGGGU